ensembl:lncRNA novel transcript
GGUGGUUUCUGAGCCCCCCUCUUAGAGUCUGAGCCACCCUAUUAGUGUCUGAGCCACCCUAUUAGUGUCUGAGGACCCUGGUGGUGUCUGAGCACAGGAAGGAAAGCAGACCACAUGGAAGCAGAUGAAGGAAAAAGCAGACCACGUGGGAGCCGGAUGAAGGGAAGGUUUCUAUGAAAUUGAAACAGCCUAUCUGCCAGUGGAGAAAGUUAUUUCAUCCUUUUUUGCCUGCAGUGAGAAAGGGGGAAAUCAGAGCCACAGAGAAGAGAAUGAAAUGUCCCUGAGGACAUCUGAGAAUUAGAGAAAAGAAAGCCUCAGAUUCUAAGGAGAAGUCCUCGCCACUUCCCAUCUGAGCCUGCUCUUCAGUGGACCCAAGUGUCGAGUGCAUCCUGCACAUCUCAGGCCCCCAGGAGGGAGGGUCCUGUCUGGGUUCACACGGCAUCCCCUCACUGUGUCUCCCACAGGAAUACCUGGCUGUCCUGUGGGUUCCUGGAGCUCCGCCGCAGGGAGCGCUGCUUGUUGGAUGAGUCUCUGGAUGGAGAUGAGGCUCUUGAGAGGCGGCGGUUGU